GGGACGAACGCUGGCGGCGUGCUUAACACAUGCAAGUCGAGCGGUAAGGCCUUUCGGGGUACACGAGCGGCGAACGGGUGAGUAACACGUGGGUGAUCUGCCCUGCACUCUGGGAUAAGCUUGGGAAACUGGGUCUAAUACCGGAUAUGACCACAGUGCGCAUGUGUUGUGGUGGAAAGAUUUAUCGGUGCAGGAUGGGCCCGCGGCCUAUCAGUCUUGUUGGUGGGUAAUGGCCUACCAAGGCGACGACGGGUAGCCGACUGAGAGGGUCGACCGGCCACACGUGGGACUGGAGACACCGGUCCAGACCUCCGUACGGGAGGCAGCAGGUGGGAAUAUGCACAAGUGGGACGGAA
rnacentral:rRNA from 1 species